UACGGAGGGUGCAAGCGUUGUUCGGAAUCACUGGGCGUAAAGCGCGUGUAGGCGGCUUGGCAAGUCGAGUGUGAAAUCCCAGGGCUCAACCCUGGAACUGCACCCGAAACUGCCUCGCUGGAGUCCCGGAGAGGGUGGCGGAAUUUCCGGUGUAGAGGUGAAAUUCGUAGAUAUCAGGAGGAACAACAGAAGCGAAAGCGGUUCACUGGACCAUUGCUGACACUGAGACGCGACAGCGUGGGGAGCAAACGGG
rnacentral:rRNA from 1 species